rnacentral:tRNA from 1 species
UGUAUGUAGCUUAGGGGUUGAGCACUUGCCUAGUGUAUGCAAGGCCUGGGUUCAGUACCCAGCACUACAA